UCCCAUAACUUCUAUUUAUUUUUAAGAAAGUGUUAUGUUGACUCUGUUCCAGCCCUUUGGUAAGGAAGCAAACUGAAUAUUUUUGUUAGAAGAACAAUUCAAUAUUUGAGCUCUUUUAGAACUCUUAUAUGUACUGUCCAGACUCAGUGAUUUGUUCAUUUUUAUCACUUGAACUUCAUCUCUUGCCUUCCUUGGCAAAAAACACCCAACCUCCCCCCCCCUUUGCCUCUUUUCCAAAGUUAAAAACUGUCAUAAAGAAUUCAGUUAAAUUUCCUGCCAUCUAUCUAGUCCUUCAGUAAUCAUUUCUCACAUUUCUGCACUGGCCUGAGUGUUUUCCUUCUGACAUAUUUAAGAAACAGUGCUUAUUAUUUUGUUUUCAUGUUUUAUCAAAAUGUCCCCUACUCAAAGUGGUGAUCCUUGGACGGAUUGACUGAAUGAAACAUUGACCAUAAGGACUAGAUGAUCCUCAGUUUCCCUUCCGACUCUACGAUUCUGUGGUUUUAUGAGUCCCCAGUGUCUCCCAUCAUAGCCAAGAGACCAGAUAUGUUACUGGUCCCUGGCGCAUUGAAAGAGAGAAAAAUGCAGGUCUACCACAUCAGAUAGUUUUAGAAGCACUGUUCUAUGGCUCGAUAAGUCCCCCUCUUUUAUUGUCAGUGAUUACAGCAAGUAUCUCUCAGCGCCUAUGGUGUAUCUAAGCAAUCUGGAUCUGCCUAAAUAUCAUAGGGCAUUCACCCUGACUCAACGCCAGGUUCUUGAAGAAGUAUAUCUGACGAAGAAGAGGUAUCUGUAGAAGUGUGCAUGCACACGAAAGCUCAUACCAAUGACAGACUUAGUUGGUUUCUAAGGUGCUACCGGAAGGAAUUUUGUUUAUUAAGGUUCUUGAAGGUCGCUAUAGAAAAAUCCCAUAUCUGAAGAGAUGCUGUACCUGUGACUCUGGCCAAAUUGAAACUGUAGAACGCAUGCUCCUCCAAUCUACGCUCUGGCCUUAUUUUGCUUAUACUCCAGAAAUAUACAGCCGUACCUUGGUUCACGAACGCCUUGCAAGUCGAACGUUUUGGCUCCCGAAUGGUGCAAACCCGGAAGUGAGUGUUCUGGUUUGCGAACGUUCUUUGAAACCCGAACAUCUGAUUGGGAUUGCGAUUGGCUGCAGGAGCUUCCUACAGCCAAUCAGAAGCCGCGCCUUGGUUUCUGAAUGUUUUGGAAGUCGAAUGGACUUCCAGAACAGAUUCCAUUCGACUUCCGAGGUACGGCUGUAGUGGGAGUCCUGAACAGUUUCUUGCUACUCUGCUGCUCUUAGAUAACAACACUGGCUUAGCACAUAAGGUGGCCAAAUUCUGCAUGCCAGCAAUUAAAGUGUGACAUAUAUGGCUAGUACUCAGGAGUAGUAUAUAUCGACGGAUGGUCAUCCCUAGUUCAAAAGGGUUUCCCUUCUGACGGAUAAAUGAACAACUAGAAUGCUUUUUUAACUAUAUGUACUUUUAUUUAUUUUAAUAUGUUCUGAGAUUUUAAAGUUUGUAAUUGGUCAUUGACCGCAAAAAAUAAAAUAAAAAAUGACUUACUUACUAUGGCUUAAUAGUGGAUAUUGGCCACAACCUAAUUUGGUCUGAGAGAUUUAAUUCCCUCUGUUCAACAUUGUCUGCUAAUCCUUUGAUAUUACAUAUUCAGAUGAAAGGAGAAGUGAAAUAUACUUUUGUAUAUUGCAGACCUUAAAUCUGCUUUAACUACUUUCUGCGCAUUAAAAAUGCAUGGCAGCUUUUAUCACAAGCUUCUCAGAAAUGUCCUAAAUUAUAUUCUGCUGCACAUAUGGAUUUCCCAUACAUUUUGUAAUUAAAUUUUUAUGCGCAGCAUUUAUGUUUUUAAAAACACCAAGUAGUCUUUACUUUGCCUACCGAUCUUGCACUACCUCUGCGAUGGCUGGUUUUACUUCUGAUUGUUAAUGUUCACGUUGUCUCAAAAGACUUUGUUUUGCUAGUUUUGUGUGUAUAAUUCCCUCUCCGUACAAAAUAUGUACAUGCUUUUGGUGUGUUUGCAGAUAACAUCUGUAGUUCAUGGUCUUAUCUGCUGAAUGUCAUCAAAGGUGAAAAAAGGGCUGUUUCCCCCAUAGUUAAUUGUGGUGAAGUGCCACCUUAUAUUUUACUGCAUUUAAUAGCUCCAGGGCGCCAAGAUCAUGUAGCUCUCUCCCUUGAGAAUGGGACUUUUCCUCUUUAGCUUAGCUCCAGGAAACUUGAACAUUUGUGUUUUCAAGCCUGCAUACCAUUGGGAAGGAAGCAGGGGUGGAGAUGUGUACUGAGAUUAAGUGGAUAUGAGAAUAAGUUUGUUGUGUGUGAUCUAGGAUCUGCAGAAUUUUAUGAAACACUCACUCCUUCUGGCAUGCGUUCUGGUUUCUUAAAAAGUAUGCAGACAAUAGCUGCAAAGUGAUUCAUCUUAAAAGAGGGAGAGAGUAUAAUCUAUCAAAAGAUGCCUUGGCAUUCAUGCGCGCGCGCGCACGCGCGCGCACACACACACACAGCAUUACACAUAGCCAAAAUAGAAAGCAAGAAAUAAAGAAUCGAUGAGAAGGUAAUCUUUAUUGCACCAACAGAUCACAUAGUUUAAAGAUUUCAACCCACAAUACACAUUAAAAGGCCCCUGACCAUCAGGUCCAGUUGCGUCCGACUCUGGGGUUGCUGCGCUCAUCUCGCUCUAUAGGCCGAGGGAGCAAGCGUUUGUCCGCAGACAGCUUCCAGGUCAUGUGGCCAGCAUGACAAAGCUGCUCCUGGCGAACCAGAGCAGCGCACGGAAAUGCCGUUUACCUUCCCGCCGGAGCGGUCCCUAUUUAUCUACUUGCACUUUGACGUGCUUUCGAACUGCUAGGUGGGCAGGAGCUGGGACAGAGCAACGGGAGCUCACCCCGUCGUGGGGAUUCGAACCACUGACCUUCUGAUCAGCAAGCCCAAGAGGCUCGGUGGUUUAGACCACAGCGCCAUCUGGGUCCCCUUUAUUCAGCUAAGCAGAAUCAACAAUACACAUUAGCAUCCUGUAAUUUUUCUGAAUGAUGUUUGGAGAGGUAAACUGUAUAAUAGAAAGAUUCUCCCUCCCAUAUGCAGAGCUACAUGUGGCAGUACCAGACCACUGUGUCUGCAAAUAUACCAACAGCAGGUUGUGGGUGCUGAACUCUUUUCAUGCUCUCUGUUUUUGCUCUCCAUAAUCCCUUCAGUCAGACUUGGAAAAAUGUGAAAUUGCUUUCCAUAUGAGAAAGGGGUUCCCCCCCCUUCAAAUGAUAUCUAUUGUCAGCUUGUCAGAGACCAAAAGUGCAGACAUAGGAAGGGGUAGAAGCUGUGAAAUGUCCCUUGAUUCUUUUUCUGUGGACUACAUAGUUGUCAUAAACCAUUGUGAAAGAAUUCAAUAAUUUGUGGGAACCAGCCAUUAAAAAGGCUUUAAAAAUAUUUUGAAGGGUGUGACAGUUAUUCUUCCUACACCCCCUACUGUGUUUAAAAGUGGGAGUCCUAUUUUACAGUUAAGGCACAUGAAUUCUGCACAUAUGGUUUACUUUGAUGAAUAAAUUUAAGGGGGAGGGGAAUUAAGAACUUUAUAAGCUGAUACUUGUGACCUCUUGCCAUUAUGAAUAUUUAAGCAUUAUGGGAACAAGGGGAGAUUGUGCGCUGGAAAUGGAUUCCAGAUUUAUCAUGCAGGUUGGAGCAUGACCGUCUGAUUUCUAAAGGCUUCAAGAAUUUUGAGGGUUGUUUCGGAGAUAAAUUUAGGGUUUCCGUCCCAAACAACAAGCUGACCUCUAAAUCGAUUGCUCAAGCUAGCAGUUCCAGGAUGUGCCAUUUUUGUUUGCCUCUUCAUUCUUUCUCGAUAUCUUAGGUGCUUAGUGCGAAUUACACACAACUCUUUUUUUACCACUUUUCAAUGCAACUCCAUGUACAUUUGCACUUUGUAACAGGACUGUUUUUUUGUUUAGCUCCUCUUUGUCGACCUAGAACUUGAAAGCAUUUCUAAACUAGAGAAGAAAUCAAACACAACCGAUGCUUUUACCACUAAAAAUAGGUAAUUUUGUGCUUGGUUUUGCUUUCUGCAUUUUACAAUGUGCAAGACCCAGUGCCCAAAUGUUACCCUCGGCAGUUUGCCGCCGCAGAACCAUUCCCCAUAGCCAACUCCUAUGUUGCAUUGGUUGUGUAGAGAUAUCCUGCAAGAAUUGGGUAGCUUGGACCAUGCUCACUUUGCUGGUACUGGCAUGAAAACAUCCAUGCAAUCCUGAUAUAAAAAUGCUUUGGGUUGACACCACUGCUGGUGCAAGCAGAUCAGAGCCUCGUGCAAGGAAAUUCCAUAGUUCCUCUUGCAUUCUCCUGCAUCUCUGGAAAAGACUUUCCUGACUCAGCAGCUACUCUUGCCCCAUCCUAAACCACAUGAAAUGCAGCAGACGGUUGAGGAGGGUGCAGAACAGAUAAGGAAUGCCGCUUGGGACAAAGAGGUCUGGAAGUUUGCAUUCAGCUCCCGGUGUCCUGAGGUUCAUCUCUUACUGUACAGCAAAACAGACACACAGGCAUGUUUUCGUUCUAGCAGUGCUUUGAAUGAGCAAAUUGCUGCAAAGUUUUAUUUUACAGGACAGCAAGGGCUGCUGCUUACCCAUAUUUCGUAACACGGGGAAUUGUGCACGUAUGACUACCGGAUGACAUGAAUGAUGUGUGCUCCAAAUAGUAUAUAUCUAUAAACGAGCGGACCGAAAGGUGAAAUAUUCCAAAGAAAAGUAAAGUUUACUGAACUUUAUGUGGCUUUCCGUUGCAGUAAGCUAUACUCUGGUUAAUUUUUACGGUUUCAGAGCUUUGAAUUUGGUUGUGUUAAAGUCAAAGCAUCGGUACGCCUGAGGGUUGCUUUAUUUUGACAUGAAAAAUUAGAUGCACACUGUGAUCACAAUUCAGAUCUGCAGAACGAAAGGAGUUAUGUCUUUUAUAUAUUAAAAAACCUUAAUCAAAGUAUACUAGAAAUUUAGGUACCUAGAGUAAACUUAGGUUCUAAAAAGGAUAGUCUCAUCUGACUCUUUCUUUUUUGGAGAUAGCUUAAGAAAAACAUAGGGACAUGUAUUUUGGUUAUAAUUUUCAUGUGCAUAUGUCUUAACAUUCCCUUUUGUUUUGGAAUCACAUGCUCAUAUCAUUCAGAAAACACAGGAGAAAACUAUACGGAGCUUAAGGGCAUCUAUUAUUGGUAUAGUUUCCCCCAAAGUGCACUGCUGUGGUUAAAGCAUUGGUGUUGAUCAUUUCCCGUUCUUCCUCUUAAAGUUGCCACAGUGUUAUAAUGGAGAAUUAGAGCCUCCCACCCUCUCUCUUUCACCGUGGUUUCAUUGGAAAAUAAAUGAACAACCAGAUUAUUAUUAAUCUUGAAGGUCAUUGUCCCCUGCUGGCUUUAUAGCCUGGUUGUAAUUUCUUUUUGGGGUUGCAAUGUACAGUAUGUUUAUUCCUGCAUGUGACGAGCCUUCAGUCGUGUGUUCUCUCUGAGUUAAAAUGACUCAGAUGUCAUAAUUAAUUUGAUGAGCAGGUGGGGGUUAUUAGCCCUGUGCUUCACUUGCUAAUAGCUGCACAGCUUUUCUAAAGUACUCUUUCAACUAAAGAGGCAUUUCUGCACGCAGAAUAAACACUGCCGCACAAAAGCCUCAGUUAGAUAACUAUGCAUGGGUUUGAAAAGCUGCCAAGCAGAUGUUGUUAUUGGAGCUGGCCCAGAAGAGAUUGGGCAAGGCAGAUGCGAGGUGGGGUGGGGUGGGGGAAGAGAAGAGGUUACUUAUAACCGAGACACUUUCUUUGCAGCGGUUGAAUAAUUUUUGUGGAAAUGGGAGGUGUCUUCCCACAAACCAAAUCCAUAGUUAGCCGGCUUCAUGCUCACUCUCGAAGACCCGCCCCUCAACUGUAAAUAAAUGAGAUGGGAAAAAGCUCACUCCAACCCCCACCCCCCCACCCCCCAGCAUAUCCAUAUGGGAAUGAAUCUGAACGUUCACCCAGCAGCCAGAGACUUCUGGUUUGCAUUAAAUUGGCUAUGUGCAAUUUUUGAAAGGCCUACAGAGACUUAGCUUCAUACCUAUCAACAUAUGUAAUGAGUGCUGCUGCUCUGACAUUUACCAGAACUCAUAGGUUCUGUUGCAUUACUAUAAAUUAGGUUGUGCAAAUUCAAGACAAAAUUGUGUUAUGUUUCCUGUCACCUCUUGCUUUAUUUUUAUUUUUUUCCUGUUGAGGCUUUUCUUCCUUAUUAAGAUAUGACAAAUAUCAAGUGUUAGACUAAUUUGUUACGGUUGGACAGCUGGAGGUUGGAAGAAAGAGGGGGAUUGCAUGGAAGAGACAAAUAGACCGGGCUGAAAAUGAAGCUGAUCUGUUUCUGGCCUCGCAUUGUCCCCUCUGGGUGCUUUCAGGUUAAAAAGCACCCCUCUCACUCUCUUUUCCUUCAUUUCUAUAAUAUCGUUUGUCCGGGAAUUUAAAAUGCAGGGUGAAUGUUGCUGAGAUCUGCUGGAUCCUAACUUACUCAUCCUGGAGAUCUUGGGUUUGGAUUGCUCCCUUAUUUGAUGACCAGUAAAUUCAUACCCUCCAAUAUUUCUCUGAUGAACAUAGGGACGUCCUAUUCAAUCAUGAUGAUGGGAGAGAUCAUCAUCAUCAUCAUCUGCCCAUCUCACUGGGUUGCCCCAGCUACUCUGGCUUCCAACUUGUAUAAAAAUAAUAAUACAACAUUCAACACUAAAAGCUUCCCUAUACAAGGUUGCCUUCAGAUGUCUUCUAAAGGUUGUAUAGAUGCUUGUCUCCUUGGCUUGGGGGGGGGUCGCAUAGCUCCAUAUCCUCCAACAGUUAUCCGAUGUAAAUAGGGACAUCCUAAGGAAUAGGACCCGGGUGGUGCUGUGGUCUAAACCACCGAGCCUCUUGGGCUUGCUGAUCAGAAGGUUGGCGGUUUGAAUCCCCGCGACGGGAUGAGCUCCCGUUGCUCUGUCCCAGCUCCUGCCCACCUAGCAGUUUGAAAGCACAUCAAAGUGCAAGUAGAUAAAUAGGGACUGCUCCGACGGGAAGGUAAACAGCGUUUCCGUGCACUGCUCUGGUUCACCAGAAGCGGCUUAGUCAUGCUGGCCACAUGACCUGGAAGCUGUCUGCGGACAAACGCCGGCUCCCUCGGCCUAUAGAGUGAGAUGAGCGCCGCAACCCCAGAGUCGUCCACGACUGGACCUGAUGGUCAGGGGUACCUUUACCUUUUAAGGAAAAGGAGGACAUCCCUGGAUUAAAUCAGAAACUGGGAUGGCUUCUGUAAUUCCUUGACUGUCCCUAGAAAAUAGGGACACUUGAAGGGUUUGUCCAUUGUUUUAAGUUGCUUUAUUGAACUUCAUAACAGUAUUUUUUUUUGUUACAAUGUGAUAUUAUAGAUGUAUCUAUUUCUAGACUAUAACAAAUGUUAGAAGUUCUGUAGACAAUAACAGGAGAAACCAGUACAACCCCAUUUAAAAUGUUCAGAGAGAGGCCACCACUUUGCUGAAGCUAAGGAGGUCUGGUUCUGAUCAUUUGUGAGCUUGGUAGCCACAACUGAAAAGGUCUUACUCUUGGUGGAAAUCAGUUUUACCAGCUGCAGGAGAAACUUUUUGGCAGAUAUUAAAUCCUUGGGAAGUUCAUACAGGAGAUAGUUCUCCUAGCAGUAGGGAUCAGGCAAUAGGGAUACAGUGGAACCUUGGUUCUUGAACUUAAUCCGUUUCAGAAGUCUGUUUGACUCCCAAAACGUCUGAAAACCAAGGAGCGGCUUCUGAUUGGUGCAGGCGCCCCGGAAACAAUAGCCGACAGACGCAUUGGAUGUUCAGCUUCCGAAAAAUGUUUGAAAACUGUAACACUUCUGGGUUUUUGGUAUUCGGGCGCCGAUUUGUUCGUCAACUAAGCCAUUUGAGAACCAAGGUUCCACUGUAUUGGAUAUUGAAAGAAACUGGAGGGAGACUAGAGAAAGGACAGUGUUGUGGGUCUGUUCUGUUUUUAUGUUUGAGGAUGGUGGUGGUUGCAGUGUAUGUGUGUAGUUGCUGGGGUGGGAAACUGGAUAUGGCCAGCGGGCCAAAUCAUUAUCUCCACCACCCGUCAUGGGCCAAGACUGAGAUGCUGGCAGAGCCACUCAGCUGUCAAUUGCCUAAUAUCACAAUGACUUUCUUUUUCUUGCACGACUCUUGCAGAGUACUUUGCAAAGUGAAAUGCAACAUAAUGCUUUGCAAGGGGCUUCUCAGGACCUGACAGCCAUGUGAUGGUUGGGCCUUGGGAAGUGCCUUUCAAACCACUGUCUUGUGCAAGGCUUUGGAAGGGACAGUCAGCAAGACCUAAGACUCAGCGGAGAGCCUACAGAACCUUUCUCCCCCCUCCUCUGUAGCAUAGUGGUUAAAAAAGGCGAGCAACUCAUGCCAUGCUGUUGCAUGUUCAAGCCACAUCCUAGACGAGAGGUAACACAUACGUAACUGCUUACAUUCUCUCUGCUAUGCUUUGUGGGAUGAGUCUGCAGUCCCCAAUUUUGGGGUAGAUUUUCCUUCUUUUAGAAGGUCUGCUUUGUUCAUAGAACCCAUUCUGCUUCCAAGGUGAUUGACAUGUGGGCACUUGAGUUGGGGCUCCUACAUCAAAAUGUUGCAGCACGUCCUCACCACAUAACAGCAGUGCUGUUGUUCAAGUUUCCAACCAGCCAUCCGUUUUCGAUGCUACCAGUCCAUCCACACUCAUACCAGUUAUCAGCUCUUCUGUUCCAAUUGACACUCGUCAUUCUGUGGCUGUUGGACACCCUCAGUUUCCAUUGGUCUGUCUUUUUGGUGUCUUUUACCCCCUUAGGCUUUUAAACCUUGCGGUUCUCUCCAGAAUGCUGAUAUCUCUUUGUUUCAGUGACCACAUAUCGUCCCAUUGCUACUCACCACCUGUCAGAGGACGUGGUGAUGUUCCUGCUUACCUCUACCUGACAAUUGGUGGUAUUUUGCACCAGCUGAAGCUUCAAAAACUGCACUAUUUGGAAUAUACCACCAGGGUAUGAGCGACAGUGUCUGCCUUCCAACAGAACUGUUCUCGCAAAUCCGUCAUAAUGCAGAAAAGUCACCUGGUCUCCUUAUUGUGGCUCAGUAGAUGAAGCACCUCUUAGAUUUUACAGCUCAUGAGCAAAUAGUUUAAAUUAAGAGGGGGGAAAAUAAGAUAAAUUUCCAAAUAUCAGACAUAGCUUCCUACAACUCAUUGUAGACAGAGGAAUAUAAUAUGAGUUCCUCAACCACCUGUCUGCACCAUCAACAUAGGGUUUUGUUUCUCUUUUUCUUUGUCAUUUUUUUCCAGUUUUCCCUUUUCAACCUUCCUGUAUUGUUCAAUAUAUUACUCGAAUAGACAAAUCGGUAUAUGAGUAAGAAAGGGGUGCAGGAAUUGCAGACUCAUGGAGGUUCCCCUCCCAGGGUCCAGGGGGCGAUAUUGCUAUGUGGGAACCAGCGGGUGGGGGGGGGUUGUAGCUGGGGAGGAAAGAGUUCCCCUGUUCUGUGAUCUGCCCCAAAAUCUCCCUCCACAACAAUUUGGCUAAAAAAAAGGGAGGGGGCUUCCACUGGUGGCAGUGGAAGCUUUUACAAGGACUGAAGAGAAGAGGGAGCUGGGAACAGUAAGAAAGAAAAGGGAGGGAAAUGAAUAAAUGCUUUUUAUAAUUUUAUGAUUGUAUAAUUAUAUCUCAGUGGAGGAGAAUUUCAGAAACCUUUCAGGAAACAAGAUAGCAAAAAAUAAAAUAAAAUUGGACUUGGGUAUAACUGAGUUGGCUUUUUUAAAGGUAAAAAGCUCUACCAGUUGUGAAUUGUGUUCUUGAGUACUGGAUCAUCACUCAUUUCAACCAGAUAGAAUCAUUUUUAGGAAAUCCCUAGGGGAUGUUUCCUGAAUUGUUACUCUAGAGCUGUUACGUUACAAGUGCUGGGAUUGGUUGCUUGUGGGUGAUUCUAUGAAUCUAUUGUUCCUUGGGCGUUGCGGAACGUGCUAGUGGAGACUUGCUUUGCUUUUCAAGUAUGGAGGAAUCAAAUUCAAGUCGUUUUUAAAAAAUCAGAUAAAUGGAGUAUACAUGAAUUAAAAUAAAUCUUUUUCCUUUUCCUUUUCCUUUUAAGACCAGCGCGCCUGAUGUUUAAGCAAUAUGGUAGCAUUCAGAAAUGCACACUUCUGGAAGGCCUUGGGAAAAAAAGCUGUGGCAGGACCCCCAGUGUUUAACAGUUUGAGACCCUUGACCUACGAACAGUUUUAACAGAUGUUUCGUUGAAGAGAUAUGUGUUGACACUGUAAUUCUUUCCCCCCACUCUUGGAAGUGUGCUUCUGGACUAUCAGGAGAACCCAUUUAUUUAACAACAACAACAACCUAUUUAGUUCAUCUACAGCCAUUCAUAACUUGCCCAGAGCCAGUGAUCAGGCAGUCUUUUGCAGGCUUUCAUGGCAUGGGCUGUGGAGACUUGCCCUCCCCUCAAGAUACACUUUAAUUUUAAUUUUAAUGUGAGAUAUCUUGAUUUGAGAAGUGUGGCUUUCUAGGCCGGCCGACAGAAUGCAGAGGAAGAAACCCGAGGGUUUCUAAUUGAGCUGGCUCUGACUUCUCGAGACUUACCUAACUGCUGUGCUAUUCUGAACUCCAGCCCCCCCCCCUCCGAAACCCUCCCUCUCCCCAUCAGCUUUGAUCCUGGCAACUAAAGUUCAUUCCAUAACUCAGGUCAGACAGAAAUGAUGCAUUGCAUCACAGCUGCCUUUAUGAAAGUGUUUAUUUCAUAUCUGAAAUGUUUUUAAUAUACAUUUGCUCUGCUAUGACUUGCAGGAGGAGAAAGAGAGCAGUUUUACUGGAGGCGAAACAGGCCACCUGUGAAAACUAAUUGCAGAGGUUGCAUUGUGUCGGUAUCUGUAGGAACAAUCCGGCAGGAAGAAAGUAAAUGUUCUUAAUCGGGAAGCAGAUUACCUGCAUGACAAAAUGUCCUCCUUAAGUAAUACAGCGAUUUGAAAUGGCCCCUCGUGAGGGUGGGGGUGGAGGAGAGUUCAUUCACAAGCAGGCUUCUUAUCCCACUAAAACCGCACAGAAAAAAGAAAAAGAAAAGCCCGAGCAGGCGCUGCUAAAUUAUUUGAUUGAAGAUUGCAUUUCGGUACAUUUGCGAGAGUGUAAUUUCAACGGAGAAAAAUUGCUGCCAGUUGAGACCCCCGCCGGUGUUGCUAAUUUCAGUUGGUAGAGCACGAGACUCUUAAUCUCAGGGGUGUGGGUUCGAGCCCCACAUUGGGGAAACGAUUCCUGCAUUGCAGGGGGUUGGACUAGAUGACCUCCGAGGUCCCUUUCAGCACUGCAGUUCUAUGAUUCUGUGAAGCUAUAUGGAGCAAGUGUAGUCCCUAGGCAAACAAAAGCCAGCACAGUUAGUGCAGGGGCUCCCAUUUUACUGGAGUGACACAAGCAGCCAGCCUUAAAUUGAAAUCCAGAUCUGUCGCUUGCCCUUGCUUUCCUUAUGUGCACGAUGAAUUGUAUCCUUGGACCACUUUGCAUGGACACAGGUGUGCAUUUUGUUCUGCUGCCAUCAUCACAGAAAAGUGCUGCUGUUUCUUGGAUCCGACAGAGGGGCAAUUCUGCUGUGGUGUUUCUCAUAUCCGCACAGUUCUGCAUGUGGGAAGCGGUAGGAGGGGUUACCCAGAGAAAAGAAGUGGCCCGGUUGUAAAGAUAAAAAGGUAAAGGACCCCUGGAUGGUGAAGUCCAAUCAAAGGCGACUAUGGGGUGUGGCGCUCAUCUCGCUUUCAGGCCGAGGGAGCCAGCCGGUGUUUGUCUACAGACAGCUUUCCAGGUCAUGUGGCCAGCAUGACUCCAAACCCCUUCUAGUGCAACAGGGCACUGACGAGUGCCAGAACCCACGGAAAUGCCGUUUACCUUCCCGCUGCAGCGGUACCUAUUUAUCUACUUGCACUGGCAUGCUUUUGAACUGCUAGGUUGGCAGGAGCUGGGACAAAGCAAUGGUAGCUCAGCCCAUCGUAGAGAUUUGAACCGCUGACCUUCUGAUCGGCAAGCCCAAGAGGCUCGGUGGUUUAGACCACAGCACUACCCACGUCCCAGUUGUAAGUGUUCCGGUUGUAUGUGUAAACCGGCUGUUAGUAUCUGGUUCUGCUGGUUCUGCUAAUACAAUUGCUUCCGUGCAGAUGUUUUUGUAAAGCGCUGCUUCCUCCUUAACGCUGCUGCAUGUUGAGCUUGAGAUUCCACAUUACACCUCUUAGUUCUUUUCAUUCAUUAUUAUUUGCCGUUCAGCUGCCCAGAUGGCUUCUUCAGGCCUGUGUUGAUGAAUUUGCUUUCCUUUCCCCUUUCCUAAUACUCUACACAUGUAUUUCAUUUCAUCUUUUGUGACCGUGGACAGUUUACACAGACUUUAAUAACACGGGGUUGUUGCUUUUGCCACGUUUUCUUUCUUGAUGGUUGUGAUUUGUCACAUUCUCUGUUUUGCUCCUUAGAUGACUGUGUUUCAUACUAGGUUUCCUGGGGCACUUAGAACACUGCCUGGCACAAUGUUGUCCAGCUCCUUUCUGGAGUCUGUGGGUGGUAUUGUUAUGUACAAGCUAAAUAGUCAAAAGUCUUGUGCUACGUUAUAAUAAGCUACCAUGCAACAGAACAAAUGUAUCCCUUGAUCCAGCCGUUUCAUUAUUCCAAGGUCACUUGAGUUUUCCUGUCUCUGAUUUGCUGUUCCUGAGGGAGUGACCAGUCUGAGAUUUCAUGGCAUUGCCUUUAACUAAUUGGAAACGUGCAGUUUUUGUGUGUCGUCUUGGGAAGAUUAUGCAGAAUGUGCAUAUUGGCUUUGGCCCUCUUUUCUCUUGUAGGUUGGAGAAUACUUUUCUGGAAAUUAUAUUUGUAGAAAACAACAAUUGUCAUGUGAUCUACCAGGAAAGAUGAGAUGUCCAAGAAAUUGGUUCUUCCAGAGAUGAGACCAUGUUGUGUUAUCGAAACUAUAGUGUCAUUAGGAGAAAACCUGCUUAACAUUGUUUAACAUGCACACCUUGUUCUUCCUUUGAUGUAUAAGAGUUGGAUUGUUAUCACUAGAUGUCAUAAAAAUAUUUUUAUUGUUCAUAGGUUGUUAUCACAGGUAGAUAGCAAAUGGUAUUUGUCACUUAGGAAUUAACCCUAAGCAUUGUGCUAGUAAUUAAUUGCAGCUCAGUGGCUGGUACCUAACAAUACCUAAGGCAAGACCCAAACAUUAGUGAUACACUAGGUAUUGCUCAGAGAACUAAUUGAUGUUUGUAGCUUUGUCAGAAUGAAUGAGAAUCGUGGCAAUGCUCCACACCAGCUACAUUCCUAUGGCCUCUGUAAUAAAAUAUAUGAGAAACAUGACAAAUAACCUUACACAUGGCAAGGUGUCUUUGGCAAGACAAGAAACUUUACCCCAAAGUCCAAAAUAUUGUUUUUGAACUUUGCACAUGUUAAGUAACUGUUGUGUGUGGCUGCCAAUCAUUAUGCGAUUUGUAUUUUUAUAAGAAUUGUAAGCUGCUUUGUGGAACAUGUUCUCAAAAAGCAGAUUGUAAAUCUUUUAAAUAAAUAAAACCUGGACUUGCCACUGACUUUACCCUCAACGGAGUGUCACACAGUUAAUCUGGUCCCCUAAUUAAUGUAUCAAUAUGAUCCCGGUAUUUACCCUGUUUCUCAUAUUUUAAGACAUACCCAUAAAAUAAGUCAUAGCAGGAUUUUUAAGCAUUCAAGGAAUAUAAGCCAUACCCCGAAAAUAAGACAUAGUGAUAGGCGCAGCAGCAAUGCCAGCCGCGGCAGGAGGAGGAGGAAAAAAAUAAGACAUCCCUUGAAAAUAAGCCAUAGUGUGGUUUUUUGAGGAAAAAAUAAAUAUAAGACAUGUCUUAUAAUAUGAGAAACACGGUAAGGAGACAUAAGAACAAGCCUUCCUCAACCAGGUUCCUUUGAGGUGCUGUUGGACCACAAUUUCCAUCACUCUUAUCAUUGGCCAUGUUCAGUAGGGCUGAUGAGCAUUGUAAUUCAGUAACAUCUGGGGAACAAGAAGUUGGAGAAUGUUGAAACUAUCAUGUGUAUGUUUUUUAAAAAGAUUGUUUGUGAAGAAUCCUUUGUGAGUUGUUCAGUUGUACCUGGCCAUGUUAGUUAACAUUUUGGGAAGGUGAGUGUUUGCUACUUUAUGAUGGCUCUUGCUGGUUGCGCUCGACUUAUUGGAAAUUAGGAGUCCUGUACGAGCAUAUAUCUGCGGACCCCCAGCCUGAUUCACAUAAACCAGAUAAAUUUGCACAUGUGUUCUUUCAGAGCUGGGUGUUUUUUGUUUGAUAUUAUUGUGAUUCAACUCUCACAAAAAGCAAUACAAUUAUUUUAGAAUCCUUUGAGAUGGGGUAACUUCAGAAUACAGUCGUACCUUGAAAGUCGAACGGAAUCCAUUCCGGAAGUCCGUUAGAUUUCCAAAAUGUUCGGAAACUGAAACACAGCUUCUGAUUGGCUGCAGGAAGCUUCUGCAGCCAAUCGGAAGCUGCGGAAGCCCCGUCGGACGUUCGGCUUCCAAAAAUAGUUCACAAACUGGAACAGUCACUUCUAAGUUUGCAGUGUUUGGGAGCCAAAACGUUUGAGAACUAAGCUGUUCGAAAACCAAGGUAGGGCUGUAUAGGUUUCAGUUUUUGUGUUUGACCCAUGCAUAAUUGCUGUUUUGAAUGCUCCUCAUGUUAAAAAAAUAGCAAUAAAGGAACUUUCUGCAGGUGGAAAAAUAGCACAUUAGUGCAAAGAAUAGGCUCAUUCUACCUGAAACGCUUCUAGGUUUUAUGGAUACAGGACACCCUCUAAAGCGAAACAGGCUCAGGAAGUUCAUAUAUAUUUUGCUUCAGAUGUUCUAUAGAUACUGCUGCGUCCAAUGGGUUGUGUCCAACACUGAGUUUGGAGAAAGGGCUUCUGCUCAUGCAAGUUGGAGCCUUAAGUUCCCACCCUUCUCCCUACCUGCUAUUCCAGAGAGUUUCCCAACCCACAUGAACAGCUUUUCAGGAACUUCAUGCACCCUUCCCUAACUUGGUGUUCUCCAGACAUUUUGGAACCAAAAUAUCUGGAAGUCACCAGGUUGCGAAAACCCACAGCUACAGGAGAUCAGUGAAAAUCAGCUAUCCUGCCUUGCCAAGUAAGAACUGUAUUGCACUGGUGCAAUUUUUUAGCUUGGAUCAAACCGAAUGAGUUUGGACCUGUAAUUUCUCAUAAACCGACUUCUUGCCUAUGCCUUGGAAUCUAUUUCUACAACUUUGGAAUUUUCGUUCUAGGCUUUCCCAAGUUCCUUCCUCUGACAAUGUGGUUGGAGCCAACUAAACCAGCCGUUUGCCAACUGGGGAUUCCCCUCCAUAAUAAUGAUCACUCAUCUGGCUCAGUCACAUAAGACAAUGGCAUGUAGCUUGAGAUAAAUUGCCCACUAUAGUUUACAGUCUUCAGCCAAGUUCUGUCAAUUGGCAUAGCAGUUAUGUGUAAGGGAAGGCACUUCAAACUGUCACUUCCAAGAUUUUUAAUGAGGGGAAAACACACACACACACACACACACACACACACACACACACACAACUUGUUUAGAUAACCAAGUCUUAGAGUUAUCUGGAUAAAAGAAUGUAACUUGGAUUGUCAGCAUUCAGAGAUAGAUAAAAGCAAAGAGAAGGAACAUCAGGGAGCUAGUGGAUUCUAAAUUCUUACUGUGAAGAACUAGCAGAGAAAUAAAAAGCCCAUGAGACAUUUCUUCUUCAAGCAUGCCAGUCAGAUAAACUGGAAACACACAUCUGUUCAUAUUUCAUUUCAUUUCACUUUUGAUUUGUAUCCUGCCUUUCUAUAUUACUAUAAAAUUACCAUUGAAGUUGUUAGGAGGUAGUGAUCAGUCAGACUUCCCCUCCUUCACUCGGUUAUUGCACAUUGCUCUGAGGUGGACAGCCAGAGAUGUGUAAGACUUUACGAGGAAAAUCCACCUGCAUUUAGAGAAUCGUGUGUUUUGAUGCAACUUGUCGUGUUGCAGUGGGUUUCUUUUGCUUUUUGCUUUUUUAAAGUUACCUAUUUAAUGAGAAUUUGGCUGCAACCACCUGCAGGUAUUCUUGCUAAUGUUUAUUAAAGAGAGGCAUUUUAUGGGAUUUUAUGGGAUCUUUGCAGUUUGACAUUUUAUGGGAGUUUUUGAUCCCUCGCAGAUUGCAAAAUCCCUUGAGCGUCGGAAGAAAGUAGUUUCUAGGACAACAUAGAAAUGUGGCUCACUUCUGCACAGAUAUCUCUGCCUGUUAGCACUUGACAUAUAGAGUCUAAUCUUGCAAAGGUGUCACUGUGAGUAUUGGACUUGUUCCCAGGUAUAAGUCUGCAUAGGACUGAAGCCUAGUUUUAUUUGUUUUUCCGGCUCUUCCCGCGCUAACACGCUUGCCCGAUCCUUGCAAACCGAAGGGAGAUGGGUCCCGUCCCCGUCCCCCCCGCCAGUAGCUGGAUUCAUUUGCCAUUUUCGUCCUGUUAGGGUAAGCCUAGAUAAGUACUAAGGAGGCUUCAAGAGACUUCCUCCCUUCCCCAAGUACACUGGAUGGAGGGGGGGGGGAGUACGCAGCAGCACCUUUUGUGUGUGUAACCUCUUGAAGUUAAGCACAAGGCUUGUUGAUCUGAUAGGUUGUUUGCAUAUCAUUUGCUGAAACCUGAAUGACUGGUUAUUCUGGUCAGGAGAAAAUAGCACUGACAUCAUGUGAUCCUGGCAGAAUAAAAGCCACAUUGGAACUUAGCCUCCAGAUACCCAAGGGGGCUGGCAGCAGUCUCAGUGGUUGGCUGAGAGCCCCAUUGAGCUCACUAGUAUAAUCAGUUAACUGCUGAGCUGGACAAGAUACCCGGUUUUAUUUUAUUUUUCCCCUCUUUUUACAAGCUCUGUCUCAAAGAAUGAUGGGCAGUGAGCCACUAGUAUUCUUCCUAGAUCAGUUGCUGGAGAUUAACUGUUUAGCUGCUUCUCCUCCUAAACAAAGGAAAUAUUGUGAAACGGGAAAAAAAGCCUUUCCCCUCCUGUCACUUCUUGAAUGACUUUAUCUUAAACAAAUACAUUUAAUAACAUUAGGUUAGAACUUCCGGCUGAUUCCUUUCUCCAAAGUUUCUUUUAUAUAUUUUUUUAACCGCUGUUGUCGUUUAAUAUUUAAAUCUUGCAAUCUGCUCAUUGCUCAGGCUGUUAAAAAUUCUGCGUGGCGAAAAUCAUUGGGGGAGGAAGCUAUUUGGAAAGAAGCACCAGAGGAUUAGUUCUUUUUAGCUUGUAGAUUUGCAUUUUAUAUUUCAUAGAAUGCAGAGUUGAGUUGGGACCGUGAGGAUCAUCUAGUCCAUGUGUAGGCAAACUAAGGCCUGGGGGCCGGAUCCGGCCCAACCGCCUUCUAAAUCCGGCCUGUGGACGGUCCGGGAAUCAGUGUAUUUUUACAUGAGUAGAAUGUGUUCUUUUACUUAAAAUGCAUCUCUGGGAUAUUUGUGGGGCAUAGGAAUUCGUUCACCCCCCCCAAUAUAUAGUCUGCCCCCCCCCCUCAGAAGGUCUGAGGGACAGUGAACCGGCCCCCUGCUAAAAAAGUUUACUGACCCCUGAUAGUCCAACCCCCUGCAAUGCAGGAAACUCCCCCCCCCCAAAGUGAGGCUCAAACCCACGACCCUGUUAUUAAGUGUCUCAUGUUUUACCGGCUGAUUCGGCUCACACCUUUUCAGCUGAGACUCUAUGAGGCAAAUGAAAUGAAAAUCAAGCGAAUAAUAAAGCAGCAACUGAAACAAUAUUCAAACCUAUUUUGUAAAAGAAAUCAAAACAAAUCAAACAGCUGAGCAGUAGCAAAGACAGAAACCCAGCAGCAGGUGUGCAAACGCUAGGGAUCGAAGGUGUCUUUGCCCCUCCCCACCCCCAUAUGUGUUUGAAAGGAACCUGGCUCCUUCAGUGUUGCGGGGACCGACCUAGCCUAGCGGACGGCUGCACCUGCCUGUUGGGAAAUGCGCAUGACUGACGCAGGCUGGGCCACUUCAAUCUUGGGGGCAACCUGGCGCCUUUUGCCCAGCAGUGUCCCAGGGAAGGAGAUAUCUUCCAACUCAGAGAGCCUCAAAUGUGCUGUGUGGAACAUUCGGCAAAAUCAACUGCAACGAGGUAAGAUGUACUCCUCCAGGAGAGAGUUCAAAGCAUCUGUGGCCCAGUUGAGAAGACUCCAUCCGGUCUACUUGACACACUCAGGGGAUCCAGAGCAGGGCCUCUGAGGAUGAUUGUGAAGUGAGGACAAGGUUCCUAUAAGGAGAGGUGAGCCUUUAGAUUAGCUUUCACUAGGAUGUUCUCACCAGCUCCAGUCAACGUGGCCUCGUUGGCCGGGGCUGUUUGGACUUGUAAGCUUUCCGAUUUAACAAAGGCUGGUUUUUAGAGGCAAGUUUCUUGCAAGUUUCAAAACUGUUUUCUUUUCUGAACUGCUUAAGGCAAACGGUGUGAUAUGGUAUGAUAUAUCCACCAGGUAGCUUAAACCGCUCCUUUUCUAUCUUGAACUCCAUCCUUCACUUUUCCCCAGUGUUGUUGACUAGAUAUGAUUGUCAUACAAUAAUGCUCGGAGGAAAUCUUGCUUGACGGGUUAUGUUUUUUAUUUCUCCGGUAUAGGGAUACAAUGGUACCUUGGUUGUCGAACCUAAUCCGUUCUGGGAGUCCGUUCGACUCCCAGAACCGUUCGAAAACCAAGGCACGGCUUCUGAUUGGCUGCAGGAGCUUCCUGCACUCAAUCGGAAGCCGCGUUGGACAUUCAGCUUCCAAAAAAAUGUUUGCAAACCGGAACACUCACUUGUGGGAUUGCGGCAUUCGGGAACCGAUUUGUUUGGUAGCCAAGCCAUUCGAGAACCAAGGUACCAUUGUACUAGGUUAGAUGGACUGAUGGUUUGACUUGGUAUAUGGUGGCUUCUUAAGUUUCUAUAUUCUUAUUGACAAUUAAGUGUCUUUUCUCUCUCUCAUGAAAAUCAUGCUAUGGAGAGUACUUUUAAUGUUCUGCCUCUGUAUCUGCACAUUGGGGAAAUCUGUUGGCAGAAAACAUCAUUUUGAGGCACCAACCCAGCUCAUGCUUUCAAUAGUCUUGUCAUCUCUGAUUUUUAGCUACUGGGUUUUUUAAACUGACAGCUACCUUUUAUUUCUUCAUUACUUGAUAUUGUUUGCAGCAUGUUGUUUUGAAUCGUAAACGGCACAACUUGUCUGUUUGUAGGCUUGGAUCCUAACUGUUCACUCCUUUCACGACAAAAGUGUUGUGGUCAAGGAGGCUUAUAUAAAUGCAACACUCUUUCUCUCUGAAUGGAAACUCCCAUUGGAAUUAAAUGAUUUCAUAUAGUAAUCUUAUAUCGUUCUUUUGGCAAGUUCUUCCUUUGCAGAGUGAUAGAAAGCCAUGAUAAGUCAUCAACAGGGGGCAAUCAUUUUGGAUUAUUUCCCAUGUUAUUGCAAUUUUUUAGUUUUCGGCUACUUAUUUCCCUUAUUUAACUUUGCAGCCUAUUAGUUAUAUAUAUAUAUAUAAAAGUGGAGCACAUUGGAAUAGAAGAGAAACUCUUUAGCCCAUAGUACUAGAAUAGAACUACGAUUUGUUUCCAAAGCAUUUCUACACUUGACGUGGCACUUUCUUGACUUGUGCAUACAUGCACACAUGUGCCGGUGAUUCAUUAUUUGCUGAGCAGAAAAGAUAGCCUUGCUAUUUGCAUGCAAAUUAUUUUUGGAGAUUACUUAAGGGAUGAAAGCGGCGGAAAUUAUUGGAAAUAUUUGGAGCAAAUCCUGUUAGUUGGCUCCAGAUCUUUUGCACCUGCAAAGCCAGAUAAUGAGCAGUUUGCCUCCUGGUGUUGUGAAGGUGGCCUCCUUGCCAGGCUUUAACAAAUCCUGGGAUACUCUUCCCCACUUCCUUCUCAGUCCUCACAACAUCGAUGCCGUUGUCACGUUGUGCAGCUACUAGAAUGGAAGAUGAAUAGGUACAGAAAGCUGCAAAUGGCAAAUGGUCAGAUCACCUUAGUACCCACAUGGAGACUGAAUCGUGAUUUAGAGUUUUGUCCCUAGCAGAGAAGAAUGGCAAACCAAGCCGAUGGACUAUGCCGAAAUGGCAUAACUGACUGGAAAACUCAGAAACCAAGAGGACAAAUUUUUUAUUAAAGAAUGGGAAAUUUUUAUAAGUUAUUUAGGUGACCACUGUAAGCAGAUGGAAACAAGAUCAGGAUUCUGAAUCACCUGUGGUGUAAAAAUUACUAGGGAUAACAAGGUUUGAUGGAAAAUUUGGAGUAUGGAUGAAUAUGCAGCUGCAGAUGCUUAAACUGAGACUCCAUGGGGGUGGGGUGGGGGGGAAGUCCCGGGAUUUGGAGAAUCUCUCUAUAUAGAUAUGUAAAUAUUAGUUUGUUCAUUUACACUUUGUAUUUGUAAAAUAAAUUGACAAAAAUUCAUUAAAAUAGUGAUUUAGAGUUUUGUGACUUGUGAAAAUUGAGAGAGUAGAUAGGUCACCUUAAAUCUCAAAUCUGGGUUAAUUUGCAAUAAACCUGAAAAACUAAGUCCUGUUAAUGCAUGCAUGCCUGUUGCAUGCCAUAUGAAUGUGAUACAGGGCAUCCUUGUUUUUGCACGGGGUUCAUGUCCAGGACCCCUGCACAUGUCUCAGUUCUGCCCCUUUUUGUGGCGUCUUUUCGGAGUCUUGGGGUCACUUCUGGAUUCAACACCGUGCGUGCUUGCGACAGCAUGUCAUUUGAACGUGCCUAAAUCAGUUGUUGCCUGUACAUUUGGAAAAUAGAAAAUAGGUUAAAUUAGUUGUGAGAUUUGGUGAACUGUCAUUCUCAUGUUUUGUAUUUGUUGACCGGGGGUGGGGGGAGUUAAGAGAACUACAUUACAGUGGUACCUCUGGUUAAGAACUUAAUUCAUUCCAGAGGUCUGUUCUUAAGCUGAAACCGUUCUGAACCUGAAGCAGCACUUUAGCUAAUGGGGCCUCCUGCUGCCGCCACGCUGCCACCGCACGAUUUCUGUUCUCAUCCUGAAGCAAAGUUCUUAACCUGAGGUACUAUUUCUGGGUUAGCCGAGACUGUAACCUGAAGCGUUUGUAACCUGAAGUGUUUGUAACCCGAGGUACCACUGUAUAAUUACUGAUUAGCUACCACUGUGGGUUUACUAUAUUAUUCUAAAUGUGCUUUUGCUUAUCGUUGGGUGAAGGAAAUGUAUGCCCUGUGUUCAAUUAAUGUUUUAUGUAGUCUAUCCUAGUUGUGUGUUUCUCAUUCUCGAAAAAUAAAAAGGGGAAAACCUUGCAAAUUAACUGCCGGUAUAAUUUUUAAAUAUUUUAAUGUAUAUGCUUCCACUCACUGCCAGUCCUUCAUUAUUAGUAAUGCUUUUAUUAUUGCAGAAAGCCUGUUCUUACACAUACUUACCUGAGCACGUGAAGAAGACCUCUGCCUUCACAUAAGAACAAGAAGGCUCCCUUUCUGCCAAGAGGUUGUGCUCCCCAAAAUUCUCGAGUUCUCACAUUCUUUUAGUCACAGAGAGAACUGGUACUUUUAUGGCCAUAGUCUUUUCAGUCCCUCUGCAUUGUUUCUGUCAGAAUCGUUGGGAAAUAAUGUCAAAGAAUUCUUUGAACGGUUCCUUAAAACUUCUAUAUAUGAUUUUUGUUCAAGUCUCUCAACAUUUUAGGUAAACCAAAUUCUCAUAGAAACUGUAAGUUGUACAGUCUGUGACUAAUAAUGAAGAAAUGCUUUGUUGAUUGUAUACCAAUGCACGAUAAAGGCAUAACUAGAAAUCUGGUACAGAAAUAUAAAUAAUACUUAUCUUUAAGACAGCAUCUGUCAUCUGCUUCAGCAGACAGCAUUUCUUUCAUUCCUGCAAAAAGAAGGAGCUGAAAUAUUUGAGUAGCUUUGUUUUGUGCUCUAUGAGGCUUAAUCAGUUUUUAUUAAAUUCUAAAUUAAAAUUUGGCUUUCAUAGUCUCCGCCCCUCCCCUUAGUUGUUCUCUGAAAUAUGGAACUGGAAGAAGGAUCACGAUGGCUUCAAAAGUAUAAAUAGAGGUGGCAGAGUCCUGCUAAAUUUUAUUUCAGAGGGACUUCAGUCAUUUUUCAGGAGCUCCUUUGAAAUGUCUGUUUGCAUUGCGGCGUAUCGAAGAGCAGUUAAAAUACUGUUGGUAAAUAAUUUCCCCUGAGAACCUCCUUUUAAGUGUUGCUUAAAAAUAACAGUCCUGAAAGGGCUUUUUACGGGCAUUCAUAAUGUGCGGUUGUACUAAUUAGAGCUUCGUGGUAGCUUUAAGCAUGAACUCGUCCUCAUGUCUUCCUUGGAGUUGUGCAAACCAUACUCUCUAAAAUGCAGGGAACUUUCAGUUGGUAAUAUAGCCAAGGGCACAUGACUUGUAAGUUGCAAAGCAUGAAGUUUAAAAAUGCAUCAAACUGAGAUCCGGUAUGGUUCUAAUCAAACCAAUAUAAGGACUUGUAACCAGAUAGACUAGUCAAGCUCGUGUGUAUGGAAAAGAUUGGGUUGGUUUUUUUUGCACCCUUGUGUAUGCUUACGAGGGAGUAAUCCCUACUGCAUACAACGGGGUUUACUUCUGAGUCAACCUGUAUUGCAUUUCCUCAUUUGCCUCAGACUCCCCUUGCAGCAAGGCUAUUCGUUUUUCUUGCCUUUGAAUCUAGACUAGUGCAACAAUUGGGAUAGCUCAGUUGGGAGACUGUCAUUAAUUUUGCACUUGUGGGUUCGAGACCCGCACUGGGCAAAAGAUUCCUGGUUUGGGUUAGAGGACCCUUGGGAUCCCUUCCAAUUUUAUGAGUCUAUGUUCUGCAAAAGCUAAAUUGUAGUAGGCACACACAGUUGACUGAUCUUCCAAGUUGGACUGUCCCUUUUUUAAAGUGAGAGUUUACAGUGUUUUUCCUCAGUGCACCCAAAUUCUGUGGCGAAUGGAUUUUUUAGUAUUCCUCUUGUGAAUCUUAUGUGAUCGUAUAAUGUAGUUCUAAUAAGGUUGGUACGUAUUUUAGUAUGGAGAUGUCUUGAGUUUUUGAAACUCUCUCCAAACCGGGGGUGAUGAUGGCCAAAGAAGAGCCUUCAAGUUUGGAGGGGUGUGUUUGUGUGUUUCCGGCAGGCGGACAGUACAUACUGUAUCAGCGUUUGACAAUACUGUACUGCCUUAGACAUACUGCCAAGCGUUUGUAACAAGAUAGAGCUGUUACUGUUAUUUGGUUUUUCAACUUUCCUUUUGCAUACUCUACAUUUCUUUCCUAUUCUAUAAACAAUGCACUGCAUACUUUUUGUACUUGUGUAAACAAUUCAGACUUGUAACUUGAGAGGGACCCGAAGUCCUCCGCGAGCUGCCCUUCCACGUGAUUUUAUUUCAAAGCACUUCUCCUGCACAGCACUCCCCAGAGUAAAAACGAAGUAGAGAUUUGUGCAAAACUUCUGUGUAUCUCAUUUUAAAAGAGAGAGAGAGAGAUUUAUCGCUUUGUGCAAUUGCAGUCACGGCAAGCAGACAUUUCUAUUACGUCAGUGUAAAAGAACUCGGGCUUCCACUCAUUAUUUUAGGUCAAUAUUAAUUAACAGCAGCCUGAGCAGGAGCAGUGAAGAACAUUAUAGUUAAUGGUUGCAGCUUGACUUCACUUACCCCAUCCCACCCUGCUGCCCUGCUCAAAGUUGUGGAGAAUAUUCCUACAUUAUGCAUUGUCCCUGUCACUGUUAAGAAAGGUAGAAAUAGACCAAUGUAUAUAUUUGGAGCUGAGGCUCCAAUACUUUGGCCACCUCAUGAGAAGAGAAGAAUCCUUGGAAAAGAGCCUGAUGUUGGGAAAGAUGGAGGGCACAGGGAGAAGGGGACGACAGAGGAUGAGAUGGUUGGACAGUGUUCUCGAAGCUACGAACAUGAGUUUGACCAAACUGCGGGAGGCAGUGCAAGACAGGAGUGCCUGGCGUGCUAUGGUCCAUGGGGUCACGAAGAGUCGGACACGACUAAACGACUAAACAACAACAAAUAUAUUUGGACUGUUCCUGCUUCAAGUGACCUUUCUUCUUGGAAGUUCUGAAAGCUCUUACCUAGCUCAAGAUAGACAUCUGAACUAGCCAGAUGUUUAACUGAGAAUCAAUCACAGUCAGUCCAUCAUUUGAAAUAUGAGACAUUAGAGCCGUCUAUCUAUCUAUCUAUCUAUCUAUCUAUCUAUCUAUCUAUCUAUCUAUCUAUCUAUCUAUCUAUCAUCUAUCUAUCUACUAUCUACCUACCUACCUACCUAUCUAUCUCUCUAUCUAUCUCUCUAUCUCUCUAUCAUCUCUCUAUCAUCUCUGUCUAUGUAUCUAUCAUCUAUCUAUCUUUCAUCUAUAAUAAUAAUAAUAAUAAUAAUAAUAAUAAUAAUAAUAAUAAUAUUUAUUAUGUAUACCUCACCCAUCUGGCUGGAUUUCCCUAGCCACUCUGGGCGGCUUCCAAAAAAAAAUACAAUACAAUAAUCUAUUAAACAUUAAAAGCCUCCCUAAACAGGGCUACCUUCAGAUGUCUUCUAAAAAUCUGGUAGUUGUUUUUCUGAUGGGAGGGCGUUCCACAGGGCGGGCGCCACUACCGAGAAGGCCCUCUGCCUGGUUCCCUGUAGCUUUGCUUCUCGCAGGGAGGGAACUGCCAGAAGGCCCUCGGCGCUGGAUCUCAGUGUUCGGGCUAAACGAUGGGGGUGGAGACGCUCCUUCUUAUCAUCCAUAUGCACCUAUAAAAUAAUCAGGCAUUUUGGUGGUAGGUAUCAACCAACAAUACCAGUGUUAUGUGGUCUUGGCGGCCGCUCCCAGUCACCAGUAUAGCUGCCGCAUUCUGGAUUAGUUUUAGUUUCCGGGUCACCUUCAAAGGUAGCUCCACGUAGAGCGCAUUGCAGUAGUUCCAGCGAGAGAUAACUAGAGCAUGCACCACUCUGGCGAGACAGUCUGCAGGCAGGUAGGGUCUCAGCCUGCAUACAAGAUGGAGCUGAUAGACAGCUGCCCUGGACACAGAAUUGACCUGCGCCUCCAUGGACAACUGUGAGUUCAAAAUGACUCCCAGGCUGCACACCUGGUCCUUCAGGGGCACAGUUACCCCAUUCAGGACCAGGGAAUCUUCCAUACCUGCCCACCUCCUGUCCCCCACAAACAGUACUUCUGUCUUGUCAGGAUUCAACCUCAAUCUGUUAGCCACCAUCCAACCUCCAACCGCCUCCAGGCACUCACACAGGACCUUCACCGCCUUCACUGGUUCUGAUUUGAAAUAGAGGUAGAGCUGAGUAUCAUCUGCAUACUGAUGGACACCCAGCCCAAUCUAUCAUCUAUCUAUGAUUUUUCAAACAUUUUCACAAAAUACUUCAAAUCCAAUGUUACAUUGUUUACUUUCCACCAUCACCUCCACAGUGUUUUUAUACCUUUCCCACUGCAUUAUAUAUUUAUUACGAAAAGUUUCUCCAUUACAAUUAUUUUACCAUUUUUAUUUUUUUCUUGAAAUCCUGCCCGUGAUUUCAUUUGACUGUAAUUUUUUUUAAAAAAAAUAGUCCACAAAACGCCUCCAUUCUUCUAUAAAGCUCAUCAUUUUGAUCUCUUAAUUUCGCCGUCAACCGAAUUUCGCUGCCACAGCGCAAAGUUGAACAAUCCCGUUGUAAUUUAUGGUGUGGAGGAGAUUGUGGCUUGUUAGCAGAAUUCAGGGUUUCCAUGUUUUGUUUUGUUUCAAAACAGGAAAAGCUCACCAUGAGUGGAGAAAUCCUGGUUAGUUCUUGUUUACUCCUUUCUUUCAAUAGUCUCUCCCACAUGAUGAAAGAGAUAUGUGCUGUUACAUAAGAUUCUGUUAACAUUCAGUGAAAGAAUUUCACAUAGUUAACCAAACUCAGAUACUGAACUGAAAAGGAAUGCAGGCAGCGCGGUGGUUUUCGUAAGAUCACCUCACAUAAACAAAACUUUAAUUUAACAAAUGUGUAGUAUGCACAAUUAAAAUUACUUCUGGAAGUAGUUUGCGUUUACUGAAUUUUUAAUCUUUUGAAAUAAAUAAUUGGAUCUAGCAGUGAUAACUUAAAUCAUUAAAGAUCUCAUGAUACCUUUCACAAGGUGAAAUUGCAUUAAUUAAAAAGAUUCUUAGCUACCCACUUUUGGCUAUAUGUCAAUUAGAUAAUUAUAUUCUGUCAACAUUAAUUAUCUUGCUGUGUUAGUUAAAUGUGAUAUUCUUAACUUCCUGUCCUAAGUACCCAUGCCAAUUUCCUCUGCAAAUCUACACCGCUUAUAUAUUUUACCUCAGUAAAACUGCAUUUUAGGUGUGUGUGUGUGGGGGGGGGAUUUUUAUAAAUGAUAAAACAAUAUGAUGUUUUUAUAAUAACUAUCCAUUUCCAUUUCCAUAUCCGUAUAUCAUUACAUCUAAUUCUGAGCUCAGGCGGAAAGUGCUGAUGGGAUUGCAUAACUGACUAAUCAGAGGUAUGUAGAGACCUGCUCAGGGAACCCCUGAGGUUUUUGGUUGUUCAGUAAAUAUUUAAAAAAAGAAAAACAAAACCUCAGGUGGUAAAUAAAUCCCCAAGCUUUCCAAAAUAGCUAAAUGAAGACUGAGCAUUCCCAGUAAACCAGGCAUGUCCAAAGUCUUUUGGGGGGUAGGGCUAUUCCAGCCCUCUGGAUGGUUUAAUCCAGCCCUUGUGGUGGUUUAUUUCCUGGGGUAAAAUCAUAAAAAAGCUCAACUACUUCAGUCCUAAAAAAAGGUUAACAACUUUAGUUGGCCCUUUGGUCGGCCCUCACGGCCCUUCACAUCAUCAAAUCUGGCCCUCUUUGAAAAAAGUUUGGACACCACUGCCUAAACCAUGAACUUGAGUGUUAACUGGAAAAGAAAACCAGAAGAUAUAUGUUUACAAUGGGGUAUCCUAGACUGGUUGGAACCUCAAAGAGCAAUAUUCAUGUUAGGAGGUGAGUGUAUUGCCAUUUCUCUCUUUCUGCUCCCAUCUCUGCCACCUAAAGUCAUGACUAGAAAUAACCACAUGAAUCCAUGUGGGUUUUUGAUAUGCCUUGAGCACCACCGCUAAGCUGUGGUUUUUUUAAAGCCAUGGUUUAUUGAACAAACCACGAGUUGUCUCACAGACAAGCAAAGAAGCCAUAGCUUGCUUCUUCAAAGCUUGGUUUGUUUUCCAGAUGCUCUUGCCUUCUGUCUUGGUUGCUUGUUGAGUGUCUGCAGCAGGGCAGCCAGCCAAACCGUAGUUUACCAAGGCUGUUUGGUUCAGACAUAACAGCAAGCUAUAGUUAAAACAAGCUUUAGUUUUGUAAGCCAACAACAAAUCGUGGUUUCACACCAUCGUUUUGUUUCCGCGAAAUAAGCCCCAGUCAGCGUUCUGGACCGAGUUCAGAUACAAACAAAGAAAUAAACUUGACUAUUUAACCCUGGCUUAGCAUUAGGUUCGGAUCUGGUCAGUGUGUUUCAUAUUGCCUAGAUACCCCUGUUGGGUCCUUAAUCCACCAAAAAGGACCAAAGGGGAAAGGGUAUAGUAAGGGCAGGGGUGAAUCUGGGUGAGUCUCAAGAGGGGAAGUGAGAAGAAUCGUAGCUGUAGGAGAUGGAGGAACACCCACCUCACCCAACUUAAGGAAUUUCAUAGGCAGUUCAGAGAAAAACAGCCUCUCAGAUAACAAAUCAUUCCGUUGCAGGAUAUAUUUGCAGCAAAUCUGUAUUUUUUAAUUUAGAUUUCUUCCCUGCCCUGUCUCAGAGGCCUGGAGCUUAUGAUAAUAUUACUGUAUCUCGUUUUAUCCUCCAAAUAACCUUAUGAGUUAGAUUAUGCUUCAUAAAUGGUGAGGCACAUUCCAGGGAGCUUAGUGGCUGAGUAGGGCUUUGAAAACAGGCCUCUUGGCAUUCUGUCCCACAUCAUAUUCCAGAUGUGGGGAUAAGGGCUGAGUGACAGGGCCAUGUCUAUCAGCACUUUGUGUGUUGAUGGCCGGGCUAGGAUUUUAACUGGGCAGUUCCCAAUCUUACACCUUCUGGCUCCUAAGCACACUCUCUUCACGACAGCAGCGAAAAAAUAAAGGCUGGAAAAGCUUUGGAGCUAAGGCUUUAUCUCAAUAGCCGGUGGUAUUUAUCAGCUUUUUUUCUUUUUUGAGUGAGGAAUAGAGAUGUAGUUCCAAGGCACUGACUCAUGUGGCCGCAGCAAAGUACUAGGGAUACAGCCAUUUCCUACUUUUGUUUCAAAAUGAACUCACUGCGCCUGGCGGAUGCAAGUUCUCAGCUGCAGGGCCUUGCGGAAGGAAAUGCUUUUCGUCUUUAUCGAUUACUGAAUACUAUUUACUCAGUAUUUUGUGCUUGUAAGUGGUAAACAAUGAGCCACAUUGCUUUCGGUGUGCGUGCGUGGAUAUUGCAGCAACCCGUAGCGAUCAGAAGGUGAUCGGAAAAGCGAAGCUUGCUUUGGGAUGGCAGGAGUACAGUGUAUUUCUCACGAGAAUUUCAGGCAGAUCUGGGCAUACUAUGUAGGCUGGACACAUACAACUCAAGUUAACCACAGAAAAGCAUUUUUGUUACAAUUCUUACGCACUGUUUUCUUUUUAAGACAACCUCUUUUUCCUCUCUGCUCCAUAGUUCGUUCGUUCUUAUCUUCCUUUCUGCUCUGCCUGUCACUGCAGAUCUGUGUGUGGACCCAUUCUCCACUCUGCAAUCCAGAAUGCAAUCUUUUUUCUUGUUCUCUGCACAAAGUGUAAUAGAACUGUAGAAUUGGAAGGUACACCAGAGGUCCUCUAGUCCAACCCCCUGCAAUGCUCUUCCUUCCUUCCUUCCUUCCUUCCUUCCUUCCUUCCUUCCUUCCUUCCUUCCUUCCUUCCUUCCUUCCUUCCUUCCUUCCUUCCUUUGUGCAACCUAUCACUACACUUAUGUUGCACCCUCCCUUUCUCUUGGUAUUCUGUAGAAUUUUCUUUUGCAUCUUUUUGUACCACCCUAGCUGACUUUACAUUCCCAUCUCUGUUGCACCUCAAUUUCUUUUUUUCCACUACACACACCUCUGCAAGGCUAUUCCUUAGCUGUCCCCCUUUUAAAUAUCUCCCUGCCCACAGGUCUCUCUCUACCAAAUUGUUCCUCUUUUUCUCCUAACCCAUCAGGCGGUCUGUGUUGUUAUUUCUUAAGUUACCCUGUUUUCUUCCUUCAGUUUUUCUUUUUCUGUUGUCCGCUUAACUUCUACUAAGUUCAGUGGCAAGAGCGUUCAUGGCUUUCAUUCAGGAACUUAUUUGCUUGUUUACGUUUAUUUUAAAGCGUUUCAAACUUGCGAUAACACAGCCCACCUAAUUGAGACAUAAAAAGCAAGGUGUUUUUUUUAAA